AUGUGGAGGAAUCCGGAAUACUUCACCCCGAACCCGUCCCUGCAGCAGAAACAAGAGGAGCAAGAAUCCAUCCCCGUGGAGCCCCUGGUGCAUAGAUCGGGGGGCGCAGGCGAGGGCGCGGAGGAGGACGACGGCGACGACGGCGAGGAGAAGCGCGACUACCACCAGAUCGGCGAAGGGGCAAGAAGACAUAUACGAGCGGUUGGGGGGCGUCUCCUUCUUCUUCCCCGACGGCGGUCGGCGUCGUCGUCGCCUCCGGCCGGCCUCUCCGAGCUCGCUAAAACCCCGACCCAAAGCGGCGAGAGGAGCAAAAGGGGUUGGGAUGGUCUCCUCCGACGAUAUUUAAUCCCCUCCCGCUGCCCCUGCUCCUGCCCACCUAAAUCGCCGCCCCACGCGUCCCACCCAACCACCCGCCCGCUGACCGGUGGGGUCCGCACCUCGCCGAUCCCACAUGUCAUCGCGCUUUUCACGUCCAUCGAAGAAAUGGAAAGUGACACGGUUGAUAUUCGAGCGCUGUACGUACUAGCCAUCGUCUCCACGUUUCAGACCGACAUGCGGGACCCACAACGGGUCUGGAACCACGCUGGCCUUUUGUCCGGCACGCGCGCCCAUCUACCGCGGCCCCACCGGUCAUCGACACGGCCAAAUUUAGGUAAGAAACGCGAGCGGUGGGGGGUGGGUUUAAGCGAGGGCUUUACGGGGGUGCGCGGACGGGAGGCGGCUGGGGGGAAAUGA
rnacentral:rRNA from 1 species